rnacentral:rRNA from 1 species
CUACGGGUGGCUGCAGUGGGGAAUCUUAGACAAUGGGCGCAAGCCUGAUCUAGCCAUGCCGCGUGAGUGACGAAGGCCUUAGGGUCGUAAAGCUCUUUCGCUGGGGAAGAUAAUGACGGUACCCAGUAAAGAAACCCCGGCUAACUCCGUGCCAGCAGCCGCGGGUAAUACGGAGGGGGUUAGCGUUGUUCGGAAUUACUGGGCGUAAAGCGCGCGUAGGCGGAUCAGAAAGUUGGGGGUGAAAUCCCGGGGCUCAACCCCGGAACUGCCUUCAAAACUCCUGGUCUUGAGUUCGAGAGAGGUGAGUGGAAUUCCGAGUGUAGAGGUGAAAUUCGUAGAUAUUCGGAGGAACACCAGUGGCGAAGGCGGCUCACUGGCUCGAUACUGACGCUGAGGUGCGAAAGCGUGGGGAGCAAACAGGAUUAGAUACCCCAGUAGUC